rnacentral:rRNA from 1 species
GACAUGACUCUCGGCAAUGGAUAUCUUGGCUCUUGCAUCGAUGAAGAGCGCAGCGAAAUGCGAUACUUGGUGCGAAUUGCAGAAUCCCGUGAAC